ACCAUGCAAGUCGAGCGGAAGGCCCUUCGGGGUACUCGAGCGGCGAACGGGUGAGUAACACGUGAGCAACCUGCCCCUGACUCUGGGAUAAGCCCGGGAAACUGGGUCUAAUACCGGAUAUGACCGCCCCCGGCAUCGGGUGGUGGUGGAAAGUUUUUCGGUUGGGGAUGGGCUCGCGGCCUAUCAGCUUGUUGGUGGGGUAGUGGCCUACCAAGGCGACGACGGGUAGCCGGCCUGAGAGGGCGACCGGCCACACUGGGACUGAGACACGGCCCAGACUCCUACGGGAGGCAGCAGUGGGGAAUAUUGCGCAAUGGGCGGAAGCCUGACGCAGCGACGCCGCGUGGGGGAUGACGGCCUUCGGGUUGUAAACCUCUUUCAGCAGGGACGAAGUUGACGUGUACCUGCAGAAGAAGCGCCGGCUAACUACGUGCCAGCAGCCCGGGGUAAUUCA
rnacentral:rRNA from 1 species